AUCUCAAAUCAGGUAGGACUACCCGCUGAACUUAAGCAUAUCAUUUAAGCGGAGGA
rnacentral:rRNA from 1 species